rnacentral:rRNA from 1 species
AAUCAACGCUGGCGGCGCGCUUAACACAUGCAAGUCGCACGAGAAAGGGAGCAAUCCUGAGUAAAGUGGCGUACGGGUGAGUAACACGUGGGAAUCUACCUCUUGGCGGGGAAUAACCCUGGGAAACCGGGGCUAAUACCGCAUAAGCUCGUGAGAGGAAAGCAGCAAUGCACCGAGAGGGGAGCCCGCGGCCGAUUAGCUAGUUGGUGGGGUAAUGGCUCACCAAGGCGAAGAUCGGUAGCCGGCCUGAGAGGGCACACGGCCACACUGGCACUGAAACACGGGCCAGACUCCUACGGGAGGCAGCAGUGGGGAAUCUUGCACAAUGGGGGAAACCCUGAUGCAGCGACGCCGCGUGAGCGAUGAAGCCCUUCGGGGUGUAAAGCUCUUUCGACAGGAACGAUAAUGACGGUACCUGGAGAAGAAGCGGCGGCUAACUACGUG